AUUUUCUUUGCACAGUUAUCAGUAAAAAAUCAAAGAAAAUAAAAUAUCAAGGCCGUUCGAUGUGAUCACAUUACGCUGUACAAUAGAAAUUAAGAAAAAUAGAAGUUCCAUGGGGUGAUUGACAUACCGUGCAAGCACGGCCCUGGUUUUGGCCACUCAGUAAGUAGUUGAAGUGAUAUUUUGGUCGAGCUGGGACAGUGGGAUGGGAUAUGAUUGCCUUCUCGUAUUGCCGUGGCUUGAGACAUGGACUCUCGGAAGAAAAGAGGAAGAGAGACCGAGCAAAAUGAUCCGAGAGGCUCCGAGGUGUUGGAAAGGCACGAUGAAAGACAUAUGAGGAUUCCAGCGGCGAGAUAGGAUAUGCCUGCCGACUCUCUCUCUCUAUGUUACAGCGAAAAUCUUUUGAGAUUCACUUUAUACGUAUUACUUUUCUUUUGUCUGGUUUUUUUCGUAAAAUUGGCAAGUAUUGGAUUGUGCCGAAAGAAUUCUGUAAAAACAUUUGAUUCAUUUAUUCAUUUUGAUUAAGUGGUUUUAUGUCAAUUUUUUUUUCUUUUUUUUUUAUAAAAAAUAUAAUAUAACUAAAAAUAUAUCAAUAGUGAAUAAAAUAAAUUAAAGCCAACAAAAUUUAACAUAAAGUUUAAGCGGAGGAUUGAAAUUCUUGAAACUUUAUAGAGCACGUGGUUCUUCGUGUCAACUUCGGGUGUAAGAAAGACGUCCUUCUAUUUACGACAUAAGGAAGUAAUAUAUAUACAUAUAUAUAUGCGAGGAAAAUAGAAAAAAUAGAAAUAGAUAGUUUGCCAUUUUGGCUCAAAAUUAAAUUUAUGAUCAAACCCAAUUUUAAAUCAUAUUUGUUCCAAGUUACUUGUCGACGUGCAAUUAAGGAGGAUGAGUCGACAACCGAUUUAAAUUCAAUACUUAAAUAAAAGACGAGUUACUUAUGGUGCAAAAGAAGAGUGGUGAUGACGAAGAAAUUUAAGAAGUAGACAGAGACGAAGGUUGCAGACGUAAAGCAUAAACAGUCGAGGUGCGAUUUGACGCACGCUCGGGCCAUCCAAGGCACAUCUCGCUCGCUGAACGUACGCUUUAAGAAUCCCGAAGAAGCGACCAGCCCGAUGGCUGGAAUCUGUAAAUCUGUCAUUGCAGCCAUAUUCGUGUGGCUGGUACCGCAGGAUAUGAACUUCUGCUCGUCGUAUAUGCCACCAUCGUACGAGACUCUAGAUCUACACGCUUCUCUUCUUUUGAGAGCUUUGCACCGAAACGGAAGCUUCUCCCUAUUUCUCGAAAUAACAAAUAUUCUUUUUGUCUUCACGAAUUUUUUUUUACUUAUACAUAUAUAUAUAUAUAUAAGUAAUAACAAAAUAGAAAAGUUUUCUUUCUCCAUUUUCUUCAUUUGCUACAAGAUUUUGAAGGAAGAAUUUUCUGAUUAUAUUUAAAUCUUCUAUUGUUGAUAUAAAUUUAUUUAAAUUAAUGUUCACUUUUAUAUGAAACAUCAUAAGAAAUAAUUAAACCAAGCGAUCAAUGAAUGCUUGAGAGUGGAGUGCGGUUCUUGUCGAAGGUAUAAAAAACCCUUUGGUUGUAUCAAACUGCAUGGAAACUAUAAAAGCUCCUGGCAGUCGCUGCACGUAUACGCAGUACUCCCUCUGGUAGCUAGCGAUGACGGAUUCAUGGCCCGUGGGAUAACGCAAGACCUCACCCCAAGAUGUUUCGGUUUACGGAUGCACGCUCUU
rnacentral:lncRNA from 1 species